rnacentral:rRNA from 1 species
AGUGAACGCUGGCGGUAGGCCUAACACAUGCAAGUCGAACGGCAGCACAGUAAGAGCUUGCUCUUACGGGUGGCGAGUGGCGGACGGGUGAGGAAUACAUCGGAAUCUACUUUUUCGUGGGGGAUAACGUAGGGAAACUUACGCUAAUACCGCAUACGACAUACGGGUGAAAGCAGGGGAUCUUCGGACCUUGCGCGACUGAAUGAGCCGAUGUCGGAUUAGCUAGUUGGCGGGGUAAAGGCCCACCAAGGCGACGAUCCGUAGCUGGUCUGAGAGGAUGAUCAGCCACACUGGAGCUGAGACACGGUCCAGACUCCUACGGGAGGCAGCAGUGGGGAAUAUUGGACAAUGGGCGCAAGCCUGAUCCAGCCAUACCGCGUGGGUGAAGAAGGCCUUCGGGUUGUAAAGCCCUUUUGUUGGGAAAGAAAAGCAGCAGGUUAAUACCCCGCUGUUCUGACGGUACCCAAAGAAUAAGCACCGGCUAACUUCGUG